rnacentral:rRNA from 1 species
CCUACGGGUGGCAGCAGUGGGGAAUAUUGGACAAUGGGGGGAACCCUGAUCCAGCGACGCCGCGUGAGUGAAGAAGUAUUUCGGUAUGUAAAGCUCUAUCAGCAGGGAAGAAAGAAAUGACGGUACCUGACUAAGAAGCCCCGGCUAACUACGUGCCAGCAGCCGCGGGAAUACGUAGGGGGCAAGCGUUAUCCGGCUUUACUGGGUGGAAAGGGAGCGUAGACGGCGAUGCAAGUCUGAAGUGAAAGGCGGGGGCCCAACCCCCGGACUGCUUUGGAAACUGCAUGGCUGGAGUACAGGAGAGGUAAGUGGAAUUCCUAGUGUAGCGGUGAAAUGCGUAGAUAUUAGGAGGAACACCAGUGGCGAAGGCGGCUUACUGGACUGUAACUGACGUUGAGGCUCGAAAGCGUGGGGAGCAAACAGGAUUAGAUACCCGAGUAGUC